AGCACCACCAGUCCCCAUCCCGAGGAUGCCCCAGAGGGCCUGGAGUGCGGAUGGAUGUGGGGAGUGACAGGAGAAACCAGGGGGGCUCCCAGGGGGCUGCUGCUGCCACAGCCAGACAGGUGUGUGACAGCCCCGGGACCCCGCGGGGACCCCCAGGACCGGCCCCACCCCCCGCGGAUCCUUUUUGGGGCGUUUCCCUUUUCUGCCCUGGGCUGUUCCUCGGCUUUUGGGGCGUUUUCCAGGGAUUUUCUCCCCCUUUCCCAAAUAUUUGGGUUUUAAACCAAAACCCCCGCCCAGGAUGGGGCUUUAUUUUUCUACAGAGAGAGAAAAACAAAAAAAAAAAAAAAAAGGGGGGGGGGGGGGGGGGGGGGGGGGGGGGGGG
rnacentral:lncRNA from 12 species